UAGGAGAGCGUUCUAAGGGCGUUGAAGCAUGAUCGCAAGGACAUGUGGAGCGCUUAGAAGUGAGAAUGCCGGUGUGAGUAGCGAAAGACGGGUGAGAAUCCCGUCCACCGAUUGACUAAGGUUUCCAGAGGAAGGCUCGUCCGCUCUGGGUUAGUCGGGUCCUAAGCUGAGGCCGACAGGCGUAGGCGAUGGAUAACAGGUUGAUAUUCCUGUACCACCUAGCAUCGUUUUAAUCGAUGGGGGGACGCAGUAGGAUAGGCGAAGCGUACGAUUGGAUUGUACGUCCAAGCAGUGAGAUUGAGUGUUAGGCAAAUCCGGCACUCUUAAGAUUGAGCUGUGAUGGGGAGAGGAAAUUGUUUCCUCGAGUCGUUGAUUUCACACUGCCGAGAAAAGCCUCUAGAUAGAUAAUAGGUGCCCGUACCGCAAACCGACACAGGUAGUCAAGAUGAGAAUUCUAAGGUGAGCGAGCGAACUCUCGUUAAGGAACUCGGCAAAAUGACCCCGUAACUUCGGGAGAAGGGGUGCUCUUUAGGGUGCAAGCCCAGAAGAGCCGCAGUGAAUAGGCCCAAGCGACUGUUUAUCAAAAACACAGGUCUCUGCUAAACCGUAAGGUGAUGUAUAGGGGCUGACGCCUGCCCGGUGCUGGAAGGUUAAGAGGAGU
rnacentral:rRNA from 1 species